AGUGAACGCUGGCGGUAGGCCUAACACAUGCGGGUCGAACGGCAGCACAGUAAGAGCUUGCUCUUACGGGUGGCGAGUGGCGGACGGGUGAGGAAUACAUCGGAAUCUACUUUUUCGUGGGGGAUAACGUAGGGAAACUUACGCUAAUACCGCAUACGACCUACGGGUGAAAGCAGGGGAUCUUCGGACCUUGCGCGAUUGAAUGAGCCGAUGUCGGAUUAGCUAGUUGGCGGGGUAAAGGCCCACCAAGGCGACGAUCCGUAGCUGGUCUGAGAGGAUGAUCAGCCACACUGGAACUGAGACACGGUCCAGACUCCUACGGGAGGCAGCAGUGGGGAAUAUUGGACAAUGGGCGCAAGCCUGAUCCAGCCAUACCGCGUGGGUGAAGAAGGCCUUCGGGUUGUAAAGCCCUUUUGUUGGGAAAGAAAAGCAGCAGGUUAAUACCCCGCUGUUCUGACGGUACCCAAAGAAUAAGCACCGGCUAACUUCGUG
rnacentral:rRNA from 1 species